AGAACGAUACAGAAAAAAUGGGUACGAAGGAAUCUGACAAAUACACAACUCAUCUUCAAUAGAAAUGGUAGAAUAAGGAGAAGGGAGGGUGGAGAAAGGUUCAGAACAGAGGUGUCGUUUCACCCCUCAGACUGCAGAGAGGGAGGGGGGGGACGACGACAGGUCAGAGAGGGAGGGGGGGGACGACGACAGGUCAGAGAGGGAGGGUGGAGAAAGGUUCAGAACAGAGGUGUCGUUUCACCCCUCAGACUGCAGAGAGGGAGGGGGGGGGACGACGACAGGUCAGAGAGGGAGGGGGGGACGACGACAGGUCAGAGAGGGAGGGUGGAGAAAGGUUCAGAACAGAGGUGUCGUUUCACCCCUCAGACUGCAGAGAGGGAGGGGGACGGGACGACGACAGGUCAGAGAGGGGGGGGGGGACGACAGGUCAGAGAGGGAGGGGGGGGACGACGACAGGUCAGAGAGGGAGGGGGGGACGACGACAGGUCAGAGAGGGAGGGGGGGAC
rnacentral:lncRNA from 1 species